UACAGAGGGGGCAAGCGUUAUUCGGAAUUAUUGGGCGUAAAGGGCGCGUAGGCGGCUUCGCAAGUGACGGGUGAAAGCCCUCGGCUUAACCGAGGAACUGCCUGUCAGACUGUAAGGCUUGAGACCGGGAGAGGUGAGUGGAAUUCCCAGUGUAGCGGUGAAAUGCGUAGAUAUUGGGAGGAACACCAGUGGCGAAGGCGGCUCACUGGACCGGAACUGACGCUGAGGAGCGAAAGCGUGGGGAGCAAACAGG
rnacentral:rRNA from 1 species